rnacentral:rRNA from 1 species
AACGAACGCUGGCGGUAUGCUUUCCACAUGCACGUCGAACGGGCAAGAGCCGUAGCAAUACGGAGUUCCGCUAGUGGCAAACGGGUGAGUAACGCGUGGGAAACUACCUUAUAGUACGGAAUAGCCCCGGGAAACUGGGAUUAAUACCGUAUACGCUCUUCGGAGGAAAGAUUUAUCGCUAUAAGAUGUGCCCGCGUUAGAUUAGCUUGUUGGUGAGGUAAUGGCUCACCAAGGCGACGAUCUAUAGCUGGUUUGAGAGGAUGAUCAGCCACACUGGAACUGAGACACGGUCCAGACUUCUGCGGGAGGCAGCAGUGGGGAAUAUUGGACAAUGGGCGAAAGCCUGAUCCAGCAAUACCGCGUGAGUGAUGAAGGCCUUAGGGUUGUAAAACUCUUUCAGUGGGGAAGAUAAUGACGGUACCCACAGAAGAAGCACCGGCUAACUCCGUGCCAGCCGCCGCCGUAA